UACGUAGGGUGCGAGCGUUAAUCGGAAUUACUGGGCGUAAAGCGUGCGCAGGCGGUUUGCUAAGACCGAUGUGAAAUCCCCGGGCUUAACCUGGGAACUGCAUUGGUGACUGGCAAGCUAGAGUGUGUCAGAGGGGGGUAGAAUUCCACGUGUAGCAGUGAAAUGCGUAGAGAUGUGGAGGAAUACCGAUGGCGAAGGCAGCCCCCUGGGAUAACACUGACGCUCAUGCACGAAAGCGUGGGGAGCAAACAGG
rnacentral:rRNA from 1 species